GCGGGUUUAGCUCAGUUGGGAGAGCGUCAGACUGAAGCCAAACUUCAAUCACAAUCAGUUGAUAUCUGAAGGUCGUGUGUUCGAUCCACACAAACCGCA
rnacentral:tRNA from 1 species